rnacentral:tRNA from 1 species
GGCCCGCUAGCUCAACUGGUAGAGCAACUGACUCUUAAUCAGUGGGUUACAGGUUCGAGUCCUGUGCGGGUCA